GAUGAACGCUGGCGGCGUGCCUAAUACAUGCAAGUCGAGCGAACGGACGAGAAGCUUGCUUCUCUGAUGUUAGCGGCGGACGGGUGAGUAACACGUGGAUAACCUACCUAUAAGACUGGGAUAACUUCGGGAAACCGGAGCUAAUACCGGAUGAUAUUUUGAACCGCAUGGUUCAAAAGUGAAAGACGGCCUUGCUGUCACUUAUAGAUUGAUCCGCGCUGCAUUAGCUAGUUGGUAAGGUAACGGCUUACCAAGGCAACGAUGCAUAGCCGACCUGAGAGGGUGAUCGGCCACACUGGAACUGAGACACGGUCCAGACUCCUACGGGAGGCAGCAGUAGGGAAUCUUCCGCAAUGGGGGAAAGCCUGACGGAGCAACGCCGCGUGAGUGAUGAAGGUCUUCGGAUCGUAAAACUCUGUUAUUAGGGAAGAACAUAUGUGUAAGUAACUGUGCACAUCUUGACGUUACCUAAUCAGAAAGCCACGGCUAACUACGUG
rnacentral:rRNA from 1 species